CCGUACACAAAAGCGCAUGUGCUGUGAGCUCGAUGAGUAGGGCGGGACACGUGGUAUCCUGUCUGAAUAUGGGGGGACCAUCCUCCAAGGCUAAAUACUCCUGACUGACCGAUAGUGAACCAGUACCGUGAGGGAAAGGCGAAAAGAACCCCGGCGAGGGGAGUGAAAAAGAACCUGAAACCGUGUACGUACAAGCAGUGGGAGCACAGGUUUACCUGUGUGACUGCGUACCUUUUGUAUAAUGGGUCAGCGACUUAUAUUCUGUAGCAAGGUUAACCGUAUAGGGGAGCCGGAGGGAAACCGAGUCUUAAUUGGGCGUUAAGUUGCAGGGUAUAGACCCGAAACCCGGUGAUCUAGCCAUGGGCAGGUUGAAGGUUGGGUAACACUAACUGGAGGACCGAACCGACUAAUGUUGAAAAAUUAGCGGAUGACCUGUGGCUGGGGGUGAAAGGCCAAUCAAACCGGGAGAUAGCUGGUUCUCCCCGAAAGCUAUUUAGGUAGCGCCUCGUGAAUUCAUCUCCGGGGGUAGAGCACUGUUUCGGCUAGGGGGCCAUCCCGGCUUACCAACCCGAUGCAAACUGCGAAUACCGGAGAAUGUUAUCACGGGAGACACACGGCGGGUGCUAACGUCCGUCGUGAAGAGGGAAACAACCCAGACCGCCAGCUAAGGUCCCAAAGUCAUGGUUAAGUGGGAAACGAUGUGGGAAGGCCCAGACAGCCAGGAUGUUGGCUUAGAAGCAGCCAUCAUUUAAAGAAAGCGUAAUAGCUCACUGGUCGAGUCGGCCUGCGCGGAAGAUGUAACGGGGCUAAACCAUGCACCGAAGCUGCGGCAGCGAACGUAUCACCCAAGACAACUUUACGGAGUUGACGAUUGACGGAGCGAAGCGACGUCAAAGCGUUCAUUAAAGUCGAGUUGGCUUAGGGAUACGUUCGUUGGGUAGGGGAGCGUUCUGUAAGCCUGUGAAGGUGUGUCGUGAGGCAUGCUGGAGGUAUCAGAAGUGCGAAUGCUGACAUAAGUAACGAUAAAGCGGGUGAAAAGCCCGCUCGCCGGAAGACCAAGGGUUCCUGUCCAACGUUAAUCGGGGCAGGGUGAGUCGACCCCUAAGGCGAGGCCGAAAGGCGUAGUCGAUGGGAAACGGGUUAAUAUUCCCGUACUUGGUGUUACUGCGAAGGGGGGACGGAGAAGGCUAUGUUGGCCGGGCGACGGUUGUCCCGGUUUAAGCGUGUAGGUGUGUGUUCCAGGUAAAUCCGGUUCACUUUAACACUGAGGCGUGACGACGAGGCACUACGGUGCUGAAGCAACAAAUGCCCUGCUUCCAGGAAAAGCCUCUAAGCAUCAGGUAACAUCAAAUCGUACCCCAAACCGACACAGGUGGUCAGGUAGAGAAUACCAAGGCGCUUGAGAGAACUCGGGUGAAGGAACUAGGCAAAAUGGUGCCGUAACUUCGGGAGAAGGCACGCUGACACGUAGGUGAAGUGAUUUACUCAUGGAGCUGAAGUCAGUCGAAGAUACCAGCUGGCUGCAACUGUUUAUUAAAAACACAGCACUGUGCAAACACGAAAGUGGACGUAUACGGUGUGACGCCUGCCCGGUGCCGGAAGGUUAAUUGAUGGGGUCAGCGCAAGCGAAGCUCCUGAUCGAAGCCCCGGUAAACGGCGGCCGUAACUAUAACGGUCCUAAGGUAGCGAAAUUCCUUGUCGGGUAAGUUCCGACCUGCACGAAUGGCGUAAUGAUGGCCAGGCUGUCUCCACCCGAGACUCAGUGAAAUUGAACUCGCUGUGAAGAUGCAGUGUACCCGCGGCAAGACGGAAAGACCCCGUGAACCUUUACUAUAGCUUGACACUGAACAUUGAGCCUUGAUGUGUAGGAUAGGUGGGAGGCUUUGAAGUGUGGACGCCAGUCUGCAUGGAGCCGACCUUGAAAUACCACCCUUUAAUGUUUGAUGUUCUAACGUGGACCCGUAAUCCGGGUUGCGGACAGUGUCUGGUGGGUAGUUUGACUGGGGCGGUCUCCUCCUAAAGAGUAACGGAGGAGCACGAAGGUUGGCUAAUCCUGGUCGGACAUCAGGAGGUUAGUGCAAUGGCAUAAGCCAGCUUGACUGCGAGCGUGACGGCGCGAGCAGGUGCGAAAGCAGGUCAUAGUGAUCCGGUGGUUCUGAAUGGAAGGGCCAUCGCUCAACGGAUAAAAGGUACUCCGGGGAUAACAGGCUGAUACCGCCCAAGAGUUCAUAUCGACGGCGGUGUUUGGCACCUCGAUGUCGGCUCAUCACAUCCUGGGGCUGAAGUAGGUCCCAAGGGUAUGGCUGUUCGCCAUUUAAAGUGGUACGCGAGCUGGGUUUAGAACGUCGUGAGACAGUUCGGUCCCUAUCUGCCGUGGGCGCUGGAGAACUGAGGGGGGCUGCUCCUAGUACGAGAGGACCGGAGUGGACGCAUCACUGGUGUUCGGGUUGUCAUGCCAAUGGCACUGCCCGGUAGCUAAAUGCGGAAGAGAUAAGUGCUGAAAGCAUCUAAGCACGAAACUUGCCCCGAGAUGAGUUCUCCCUGAGACUUAGAGUCUCCUGAAGGAACGUUGAAGACGACGACGUUGAUAGGCCGGGUGUGUAAGCGCAGCGAUGCGUUGAGCUAACCGGUACUAAUGAACCGUGAGGCUUAACCUUACAACGCCGAAG
rnacentral:rRNA from 3 species